rnacentral:rRNA from 1 species
GAUGAACGCUAGCGGCAGGCUUAACACAUGCAAGUCGAGGGGUAGAAGGAGCUUGCUCCUUUGAGACCGGCGCACGGGUGCGUAACGCGUAUGCAAUCUACCUUUUGCAGAGGGAUAGCCCAGAGAAAUUUGGAUUAAUACCUCAUAGUAUGUGAGGAUGGCAUCAUUUUCACAUUAAAGUCACAACGGCAAAAGAUGAGCAUGCGUCCCAUUAGCUAGUUGGUAAGGUAACGGCUUACCAAGGCAACGAUGGGUAGGGGUCCUGAGAGGGAGAUCCCCCACACUGGUACUGAGACACGGACCAGACUCCUACGGGAGGCAGCAGUGAGGAAUAUUGGACAAUGGGCGAAGCCUGAUCCAGCAAUGCCGCGUGAGUGAUGAAGG